GCGUCUUUCCGUCUCGUGCCUGUCAGGGAAGCCGGCGUCUCUGAGGGGCGGGGCUGAGCGUCCACCCGCGGGACUCACUGCGCAAGUGCAGGUCCUAGGGACUCGGAGGGAAGCUGCCAGAGAGAUUUGCAGCUGAAGAACACAUAAUUCUGUGAUUCUCAAGCAUUCUCCCAGCACACUGAGCACCCGCACCACCACCACCAUCACCUCCUCCCCACCCUCUUAGAGGAACACCGAAAGUGUGUGCAUAGUCCAAGGCUUUGUGGUCCUCAGGGCAGCUUUGUGUGCAAGUCAGUAAUGGAGAUAGAUUUUGGAAACGGUUGGCCAGCGUAACAGUCUCUGCUGUAUAGAAAGAGAAUCGGGACCAUGUAUAUCAGUUACCGUCAGUUGCACCAUCAGUCCCGAAGGUAUGUCGGAGCUCCACACUUAAGACCAGCAAGUGUUCUGAACAAGAGGAUCG